CAGACUUUGAUUAUGGCUCAGGACGAACGCUGGCGGCGCGCCUAACACAUGCAAGUCGAACGAGAGAUGAGGAGCUUGCUCUUCAAAUCGAGUGGCGAACGGGUGAGUAACGCGUGAGGAACCUGCCUCAAAGAGGGGGACAACAGUUGGAAACGACUGCUAAUACCGCAUAAGCCCACGGCUCGGCAUCGAGCAGAGGGAAAAGGAGCAAUCCGCUUUGAGAUGGCCUCGCGUCCGAUUAGCUAGUUGGUGAGGUAACGGCCCACCAAGGCGACGAUCGGUAGCCGGACUGAGAGGUUGAACGGCCACAUUGGGACUGAGACACGGCCCAGACUCCUACGGGAGGCAGCAGUGGGGAAUAUUGCACAAUGGGGGAAACCCUGAUGCAGCGACGCCGCGUGGAGGAAGAAGGUCUUCGGAUUGUAAACUCCUGUUGUUGAGGAAGAUAAUGACGGUACUCAACAAGGAAGUGACGGCUAACUACGUGCCAGCAGCCGCGGUAAAACGUAGGUCACAAGCGUUGUCCGGAAUUACUGGGUGUAAAGGGAGCGCAGGCGGGAGAACAAGUUGGAAGUGAAAUCCAUGGGCUCAACCCAUGAACUGCUUUCAAAACUGUUUUUCUUGAGUAGUGCAGAGGCAGGCGGAAUUCCCGGUGUAGCGGUGGAAUGCGUAGAUAUCGGGAGGAACACCAGUGGCGAAGGCGGCCUACUGGGCACCAACUGACGCUGAGGCUCGAAAGUGUGGGUAGCAAACAGGAUUAGAUACCCUGGUAGUCCACACCGUAAACGAUGAUUACUAGGUGUUGGAGGAUUGACCCCUUCAGUGCCGCAGUUAACACAAUAAGUAAUCCACCUGGGGAGUACGACCGCAAGGUUGCA
rnacentral:rRNA from 1 species